rnacentral:lncRNA from 1 species
GCUUGCCCAGUCCAACACAAGCAGUUUUUUAUUAAUUAAUAAAUUAUUCUCUCUUUCUCUGCAGAUUGAGAAUUCUUCAAAGUGGUUUACAUGCAGUUCUUAGCACAGCUGCUUGCUGGGGGUGUGUGCUCUGUGUGGGGGAUCUAUCAGCAGCCUGGCUACCUCUCUGUGAUCUUGGAGAUGAAACUGAGCUGCUGGCACAGAAGAAUACAGUUUCCUGAAAGAAAUGUCUGGACUUAACAUCCAUCCUCACACUGGAUCAGUUUAGCGUUGGCAAGAAUCCAUUUGUAAUCAAUCUGCUAACAAAAGAGUGAUAGAGUGGCUACUUUCCUUGAGUUAAAUAACUGAAACUAAGACUUAGGGAAAUUUACUUUAAAAGAAGUAUGGAAUGAAGAGUUUGGGAUUUCCUUGUACCAUCAAGAAAUCUUCUUGUUGCAGAUUCCAGCUUGAAUCCAGGCCAGGCCAACAGAGGAAGUCUUUUAGAGCUGUGGACAUCAAGGAAGACAGAGAAUCAUUUUUCCUCUCAAGAAAGGAAAGAAAGGGAAACUACUGUAGAAGGAAGAAUUACAUGGCCAGGAAGCAGGUAUUUCCCCUGCCUUUUUCCAUUGCAUGAAUGUAUUUGUGCACUGCAUAUAUGAAAAAAACCCUCCAUUUGCUGGUAGGUCGUAUCCCUUCCUUUCCAAAACCUGC